rnacentral:tRNA from 1 species
CACUAAGAAGCUAAGCAGGGAAUNAGCGAUAGCCUUUUAAGCUGUAGACUGGUGACUCCCAAUCACCCUUAGUGA